rnacentral:ncRNA from 1 species
UCCCUGCCCUUUGUACACACCGCCCGUCGCUACUACCGAUUGAAUGAUUUAGUGAGGUCUUCGGACCGAUACCCGGAGCGGCCUUUCGGUUGCGCCGGUGUGUUGGAAAGAUGACCAAACUUGAUCAUUUAGAGGAAGUAAAAGUCGUAACAAGGUUUCCGUAGGUGAACCUGCGGAAGGAUCAUUA